rnacentral:tRNA from 1 species
UCCGGCACUGGUCCGGUCCAGGCAGGCGGCGAGCUGCACCUUCGCCGGGCUGUUCGGGCCCCAGGUGUUCUCGGCCGCCUUGCCGGUGCC